GGAUGUACGAAACGUUUUGGGUGCACAACGAUCUGUACCCGAAUCUACCUGUUUCGGGCGAUUUGUAUACAAAACAAAUCACUCCUCUGCAAGCCUGGCAAGAUUCAGCUCCAGAACAAAUCGCCCAGAUUUUGGAACCGAAUGUUUUGUUGUUUCAUACCUCCAUUUUGUGAUGAGCUCUGUGUAGUCUCCAUUUUGUGCUUUGACGUCAUUUUGAAUUUCCUUCCCUUCCAAGCUUCAGAUCGGUGAACGAAAGCAUGGGCUGAUCUGCUGAGGAUUCCCUCCUGGUUCCAGAUUGGCUCUUUUGGCUCUUGCCACUGCUGACUGACCCCGCAUUGGCCAGGAAAAGGGUUGAAGAAGGGGCAAGGGUGGGGUGGAGUUCAAGGAGGGAUUUUCAAUUAGAUUUAAGCAGGAAGCAGCCACCAUUCUGCCUUUCUGCCUCAUGGCAGGAGAGAGCGAGGGAGAGAGCUUUGCCUUGCUUUGCCUAUUGCCUUUUGCCUUGCCAGCCUGAGCCAAGUCUGCCUUGCCACUCUGCCUGUCUGCCCCUGCUGCAUGCCAGCCUGGAAUGGAUUCUCUGCAGCAUCGCUUUUUUGUUCCUGCUGCUGAUUCAAGAAAAGAAAAUAAUUUUUUAAUCCCCUUCCUGCUGCUGAGAGAAUCACUGCCUGCCUGUGCUUGUUGUCUGUGCCAUCCCCCAGCCCCCAGCCCCAGAGCCCUUGUGGCCACCCACCCACCCCCCACCCCCGAUUUUCCAGGCUUUUGCCCCAGCCCGCCCCCUCCCGCCUGAAUCUGGAGACUGGAGAAGGAGACUGAAGAAGAUAGAGUAGACUCAGAGACCAGACCACAGAAGUGGACAACUGGACCCAAUGUGGGUGAAUCCCUAGACUGACUCUUACAUCUCUGCCUCAGCUCAGUCUUGGUGCACAUCUUGCCAAUCAGCUGCUGAUCAUCUACUUUUUAUACCCAGAAGCACAUCAAAGACAUGGUUGGAAGCUAUAAUGAAAAAUUAUAUAUAACCGGGUAACCUGCAUGAGGGUUAUACACACCAUUUGUGGAAGGAAUCGUGUUUGGGGAUAUCAAAUUUCAAAGUUUUGGACAAGGGAAUGACAUUGUAGAAUAGGCUUAUAGAUGAGUUGCCAUCGUCAUUGACAUUCAAAGCAGACUACUUGACUACAUGGCUAUUUAUUCGCCUUUUGCAAACAUUCCCUAACUAUUCGGAUCUAGCUUUUAGUCGUCCACCUAAGAUAACCUUUUCUUUAGAUGAUAUCCAUAGAAUGGGUUUCGAAAGCAUUAUUUCAUUAAAGCAUCACAUGAUUUAUGCUAAAUGCUGGUAAGUGUUUGCUAUCUCCAAUUGCCAAAAAGGACUAUGUACCUGUAUUUUGAAAUUGUGUUUGGAAGGUGACCUUCCCUAGCCUUGUAAAUCCCUUGCUUGCCCUUGGAACAGAGGUAUUAAAACUUUUUAGAAAAUAUA